rnacentral:rRNA from 1 species
CGGCGAUGUCCGAAUGGGGAAACCCAGUGCAAUUCGUUGCACUAUCGUUAACUGAAUACAUAGGUUAACGAGGCGAACCGGGGGAACUGAAACAUCUAAGUACCCCGAGGAAAAGAAAUCAACCGAGAUUCCCCCAGUAGCGGCGAGCGAACGGGGAGCAGCCCAGAGUCUGAAUCAGCUUGUGUGUUAGUGGAACGGUCUGGAAAGUCCGACGGUACAGGGUGAUAGUCCCGUACACCAAAAUGCACAGGCUGUGAACUCGAAGAGUAGGGCGGGACACGUGGUAUCCUGUCUGAAUAUGGGGGGACCAUCCUCCAAGGCUAAAUACUCCUGACUGACCGAUAGUGAACCAGUACCGUGAGGGAAAGGCGAAAAGAACCCCGGCGAGGGGAGUGAAAAAGAACCUGAAACCGUGUACGUACAAGCAGUGGGAGCACCUUCGGGUGUGACUGCGUACCUUUUGUAUAAUGGGUCAGCGACUUAUAUUCUGUAGCAAGGUUAACCGUAUAGGGGAGCCGCAGGGAAACCGAGUCUUAACUGGGCGUUAAGUUGCAGGGUAUAGACCCGAAACCCGGUGAUCUAGCCAUGGGCAGGUUGAAGGUUGGGUAACACUAACUGGAGGACCGAACCGACUAAUGUUGAAAAAUUAGCGGAUGACUUGUGGCUGGGGGUGAAAGGCCAAUCAAACCGGGAGAUAGCUGGUUCUCCCCGAAAGCUAUUUAGGUAGCGCCUCGUGAACUCAUCUUCGGGGGUAGAGCACUGUUUCGGCUAGGGGGUCAUCCCGACUUACCAACCCGAUGCAAACUACGAAUACCGAAGAAUGUUAUCACGGGAGACACACGGCGGGUGCUAACGUCCGUCGUGAAGAGGGAAACAACCCAGACCGCCAGCUAAGGUCCCAAAGUCAUGGUUAAGUGGGAAACGAUGUGGGAAGGCACAGACAGCCAGGAUGUUGGCUUAGAAGCAGCCAUCAUUUAAAGAAAGCGUAAUAGCUCACUGGUCGAGUCGGCCUGCGCGGAAGAUGUAACGGGGCUAAACCAUGCACCGAAGCUGCGGCAGCGACACUAUGUGUUGUUGGGUAGGGGAGCGUUCUGUAAGCCUGCGAAGGUGUGCUGUGAGGCAUGCUGGAGGUAUCAGAAGUGCGAAUGCUGACAUAAGUAACGAUAAAGCGGGUGAAAAGCCCGCUCGCCGGAAGACCAAGGGUUCCUGUCCAACGUUAAUCGGGGCAGGGUGAGUCGACCCCUAAGGCGAGGCCGAAAGGCGUAGUCGAUGGGAAACAGGUUAAUAUUCCUGUACUUGGUGUUACUGCGAAGGGGGGACGGAGAAGGCUAUGUUAGCCGGGCGACGGUUGUCCCGGUUUAAGCAUGUAGGCUGGUUGUCCAGGCAAAUCCGGAUAAUCAAGGCUGAGGUGUGAUGACGAGGCACUACGGUGCUGAAGUAACAAAUGCCCUGCUUCCAGGAAAAGCCUCUAAGCAUCAGGUAACAUCAAAUCGUACCCCAAACCGACACAGGUGGUCAGGUAGAGAAUACCAAGGCGCUUGAGAGAACUCGGGUGAAGGAACUAGGCAAAAUGGUGCCGUAACUUCGGGAGAAGGCACGCUGGUGUGUAGGUGAAGCCCCUGCGGGUGGAGCUGAGACCAGUCGAAGAUACCAGCUGGCUGCAACUGUUUAUUAAAAACACAGCACUGUGCAAACACGAAAGUGGACGUAUACGGUGUGACGCCUGCCCGGUGCCGGAAGGUUAAUUGAUGGGGUUAUCCGUAAGGAGAAGCUCUUGAUCGAAGCCCCGGUAAACGGCGGCCGUAACUAUAACGGUCCUAAGGUAGCGAAAUUCCUUGUCGGGUAAGUUCCGACCUGCACGAAUGGCGUAAUGAUGGCCAGGCUGUCUCCACCCGAGACUCAGUGAAAUUGAACUCGCUGUGAAGAUGCAGUGUACCCGCGGCAAGACGGAAAGACCCCGUGAACCUUUACUAUAGCUUGACACUGAACAUUGAGCCUUGAUGUGUAGGAUAGGUGGGAGGCUUUGAAGCGUGGACGCCAGUCUGCGUGGAGCCAACCUUGAAAUACCACCCUUUAAUGUUUGAUGUUCUAACGUUGGCCCCUUACCGGGGUUGCGGACAGUGUCUGGUGGGUAGUUUGACUGGGGCGGUCUCCUCCCAAAGCGUAACGGAGGAGCACGAAGGUUAGCUAAUCCUGGUCGGACAUCAGGAGGUUAGUGCAAUGGCAUAAGCUAGCUUGACUGCGAGCGUGACGGCGCGAGCAGGUGCGAAAGCAGGUCAUAGUGAUCCGGUGGUUCUGAAUGGAAGGGCCAUCGCUCAACGGAUAAAAGGUACUCCGGGGAUAACAGGCUGAUACCGCCCAAGAGUUCAUAUCGACGGCGGUGUUUGGCACCUCGAUGUCGGCUCAUCACAUCCUGGGGCUGAAGUAGGUCCCAAGGGUAUGGCUGUUCGCCAUUUAAAGUGGUACGCGAGCUGGGUUUAGAACGUCGUGAGACAGUUCGGUCCCUAUCUGCCGUGGGCGCUGGAGAAUUGAGGGGGGCUGCUCCUAGUACGAGAGGACCGGAGUGGACGCAUCACUGGUGUUCGGGUUGUCAUGCCAAUGGCACUGCCCGGUAGCUAAAUGCGGAAGAGAUAAGUGCUGAAAGCAUCUAAGCACGAAACUUGCCCCGAGAUGAGUUCUCCCUGAGACUUUAAGUCUCCUGAAGGAACGUUAAAGACGAUGACGUUGAUAGGCCGGGUGUGUAAGCGCAGCGAUGCGUUGAGCUAACCGGUACUAAUGAACCGUGAGGCUUAACCUU